GCCCGCUUGGCGGGCGGGGGCGUCGCUGCGUCGAGCGUGGUCCCGGGCUGCUCGGGCCGCGCGGGCGCCGGCGAGCGUCGUCCGCGGCGCGCGGUGGGCUGUCCGGGAAGGCUCGUGGGGACCCGCCGUGCCUCCGACCUCGCCCCACGGCCGCGCUCCCCGCCGCCCGCCCUCCCGCGCGUCAGGCUAAGAGACGGCUGGCUCGGCGCCUAGCCGCCGCGGACGCGACCGGGAAGCAGCACUUUCACGGACUCGGCUGGCGCGUUCGAGCCCUUCUUCCAGCGAAUCGUGACUCACCCGUCCCUCGCACCGGACACCGUCCCUGUCUGUCCCCGGCCGGUCCUCACUGCCCCCCGGGAGCCCUUUCCGAAGUAGCAUCGCCCACCCGCUGGCUUGACUGGCUGCGGCGCGUUGUGUUUUUUCGGGGCGCCGGGCAGGAGCCCCCCACAUCCGACGACAAAUAAAGCCUCCGGGGAGAAGCGCUGGGUGGAAUAGCAGCCCUCCUCAAGUCAGCCGCCACCUCCCCUCUGUCCUCGACCCUUUCUGCCCUGAACCACCCAGCCGGGCACACACAGGGGCCAUGGUGCCAGUCUGCAGCAGGAGACAGAGAAGGAAACGGUCACACGGGCAAACUGUGGGCCCUCACCCCCAUUCUACGCCUUGGCAGGAAGAGCCCUGGAGGCCCGGCAGAGCAACGAGCCACUUGCAGAGGAUGAGAAGGGCCCAUUUCCCACUGGACAUCCACUUGGGAGGAAGGUGUAGUGUCAUGACAACCGUGGUCACCCCCAGGCCACUGAGCCUUGAGAAGACAUGGCAGGGGGUCACCUGAGGCUGCUUCCAUAAGCCAGGUCUCAGUGAGGCCUCGGGCCACUCAGGCGGGACUCAAGAGGAUCUUUUCCCACGGCAACGCACCCGGGCCGUCCACCAGGCCUCCAAGCUCCCACAUCCUAUGUUCUAUGAAAUCCAUGUGAAUGUUGCCCUGGAGACGGAGAGAACCUGUGGCAGCUUUGAAUGCAACUUACAUGCCAGAGGGAGAACAGGUCACCCCAGAAAGCCCUUGACAUCCGAGGUUUGCUCCCUCUGAUGCCCAGGUGCCAAUGUGGCGCUCGGGGAUGCCCCGGAUCCGGGCGUACAUGACCAGCGUCUCCCAGCCCGUCAUGUGGUUGAGCAGGGUGUCAAACGGGACAGUAGCCCACCCACUGCCGCACCUGGUGGGGGGGGUGGCACCUCAGAAGGAAAGCCGCCCGGUGCACGGGGGGCCCGGACGCCUGCCCUGGCCUUGCCCCCCCCCCCCCCCCCCGGCUCCUGCUCUGCCCCGUGCAUCCCCACAUUUGCCAUGUAGACAGACGUGUGCCCGGCUGCAGCGCUCGCUGGCGGGGUCUGUGGACGGGGCACACGAGGGGCCCUUCUGCCUGGCCAGCAUGAAACCUCAGUGCUCAGCGCCUGCCUGCCUCGUGCCCUUCCAGGUGCCAGACUGCUCUGGACACCACCGUCUGGGGCAGGGUGAGCAGCUCUGACCGGGUGCAGACCUGAAAACCGCCUGGAUGGAGUGAACUAGGGGACAACGUGCCAGGACAUCCCACAACCGAGGGCAGGGCUCCCCCUGAAGACAGAUGCCACCGGGCAGGAGCAAAGUGCCGGGAGGAAACACGGACUUGACAGAAGAGGCUUCGAGCAUCUCACUAUGAGACAUGAAGAUUUCUGACGUGUGCCAAAAUGCUUGGUGUGAAUUUUGGGAAACCCAGCAAGAGCUCAGCUGCCUCGUGAAACGCAUCUGCAGAAGGGGAAGAAGUUUGCCGAACCCCGCCCUAGGCCAAAAGAGGUAUUCCUUGCGGGCAGCAAACCGUUCGGAAGCCGAGAAAUAUAUUUUUACUCAUAAUCUUCAGGUCGGUUAUUCUACUCCUGGGAGUGCGUCACAAUGAAACAGUGCAGUAAAUUGUAGCUCAUUUUCCCUGCAAUAGAGUUCUGUAAAUGGCGGUGUGGCCCAGAUUCUCCCCAAACUUAGCAGCUUAAAACAACCGUAAACGUUUGCUGUGUCACACAGUUCUGUGGGCCAGGCGUUCGGAAGUGGCUCGGCAGGGUGGUGCUGUCUCCGGGGCUCUCAGGAGGCUGCAGUCGAGCUCUGGGCCUGGGCUGCAGUGGUCUGAAGGCUGGACUGGGGCGGGAGGCCCCACUCCCAAGACGGUGCCCUCAUGUGGCUGGCUUAACAGCUGGCUCUCCCAGUGGAGUUGUUUUUUUUAUUAUUAUUAUUAUUAUUUUUUAACGUUUAUUCUUGAGAGACAGAGAGACACAGAGCAUGAGCAGAGGAGGGGCAGAGAGAGAGAGGGAGACACAGAAUCCGAAGGGCUCCAGGCUCCGACACGGGGCUUGAACUCACAAACUGUGAGAUCAUGACCUGAGCCAAAGUCAGUCACCUAACCGACUGAGCCACCCAGGUGCCCCUCUACCAGUGGAGUUCUGACAAGAAUGUUGGUUUUAAUUCACAUUAAUGAUGAGGAUAAAAGUGAAUAGCAGUGGCGUGUGUCAGAACUUCACUCGUGCUUCCCCCAGGCAAGCCACACUGUUGCUGACUUGAAUACUACUGUUCUAAUGCUGGAAGAAUAUUUCCCUAAGUUUUUGUGUUCUUAAUGAAAUGGCUCGGGAUAGGAGACACUUUUCAACUUAGUUUGCAUUAUUAACAUUUUCACCACCACUUUCUUAAUCUAGACAAUCAACAAAAUGUUAAAUUAAACCCUAGUGUUACCUGUUUACCCGGUUCCAUGACGUAAGUUCACGCAUGAUGGUUGAUUUCAAAUUAUCGACACAGCACAUCCAUCAUGCGGAUUUAAGUAGACGUAAAAAAAACCUUAAGAGCACUGAUAAUAGUACAAUGUAGCCAAACCGUGACGUCUUGUGUAUUGCCAUUUACAAUGUUUUGAUUUAUAACUUAUAGUUUUAUAAUCUUAUAACAGGAAAUUUAUGUUCAGUCUUCUGUUCCUAGCACUGAGCUCCCAAAACAUUUAUACAUUCCUAAAUGGUGACCUCAGGUAAGGCGUGUUGAGUUGUGUUGUGUUGUGUGACCGAGGUGACUUUGGAAAGGACCUGAGGAUGGGGACUGGUUGCCGAGAGAACCAUCCAUGGGAUUCGAGGGUUGGAACUUUCAGGCCCCCCUCCCAGCCUCCUGGGAAGGGACAGGGGCUGGAAAUUGAGUUCAAGUGCCAGCGGCCAAUGAUUUAAUCAAUCAAUUAUACCUGUGUAAUGAAGCCUCCACAAAAACCCAAAUGGGCAGAGAACCCAAAGCGCUUCCGGGUUGGUGUCCCGGGAGGUGCCGGGAGAGCAGUGCCGUCAGAGAGCACGGACGCUUUGCAGCGCUGCCCUGUGUAUGUGUUCAUCUGGCUCCUGUAUCAUGUUCUGUAUAAUGAACUGGUCGAUGUCGGUGUUUUUGUGAGCUCUGUGAGCCAUUGUAGUGAGUUAAUUGAAGAAGCGGUUGUGGGAACGUCCAGUUUAUGGCCGGUGGGUCAGAAGCACAGGUGACCACAUGAAGCUGUGACUGGGGUCUAGAGUCAGGGAGUGGGGGGCGUUCUUGCAGGACUGAGCCCUUAAGCUGUGGGUUCUGAUGCUCUUCUCCAGAGAGAGAGCGUCAGGGUGAAGUUAACUGCUUGGUGGUGUGAAAAAAAAUAAAACAAAACUGGGGCGCCUGGGGGGCUCAGUCAGUUAAGUUUCCGACUUCAGCUCAGGUCAUGAUCUCCGCGUUGUGGGUUCGAGCCCCGCAUCGGGCUCUAUAGCGACAGCUCAGAGCUUGGAGCCUGCUUCAGAUUCUGUGUCUCCUCUCUCUCUCUCUUUCUCUCUGCCCCUCCCUUGCUCAUUCUCUCUCUCUCUCUGUCUCAAAAAUAAAUAAAUGUUAAACCCUGCCCCACACUUUGGAAUUGAUAUCAAAAUUGUGCUACAGUUUUUUAUUGUGAUUUAUUGACCAGCUUAUGCAAUUGAAUUUUUAAUAAGAGCCGUGUUUAGCUGGUUCACAAAAUUCUUGAUAAUUUAAUAUUCGGCUCUCGUGAGCUGAGCUGAGCUGAGCCAGCUCCAGCACACCUCUGGCAGGGGCCUCGAUUCCUUGUUGGCUGUUGGCAAAAGCCUCGGUUCCGGGCCACGUGGACUUCUCCCUGAGGCCGUGUGAGUGUCCUCCCAAGACGGUGGCUGGCUUCUCCCAGCCUGGGCCUGAGACGGAGAGAUAGAGGUACAGUGUCUCUCGUGAGCUAGCCUCAUUACUCACUCGUCAGUUCCGCAAAACCUUGCUGCCUUUAUGGGUCAGCCCUAUUUACAGCGAUGGCUAGCCUGGCAGGCCCCGCCUGUGCCGAGACCCCGCCUCUGCUCUCGACCAGACCAUUUCUCCUGGACUUUCCUAGGCUUUCUACUUGUCCUUUCGUUAGCUUUCCUACAGAUUGGGGGAUGUUAGUGAGCAUUAUCAGGAUUUGCGUGGCCUCUCUUCAGGGCUUCAGCUGGUACCCGAGGAAGGUGUGUGGGGAAAGACAGGAGCCACACAGCACUUUGCCACGAUAUUUUCUUUGGUCCCGUGAAACGUUGUGUCAAGGUUGUAUUCUGAAGUUUUCCUCAUUCAGUUUCUGCUGGUCGGAUUUUUUGCUGGAGGGGCUGUUUAAGAAAUAAGACUGUCAUUUAUUGAGACUGAAUUCCAGGAAGGAAGGGAGGGGAGUUUUCUACAGCGGGACGUUGGUGGCCACCACACCACGGUGUCUCCAAACAGAUUAAGUACAGGCUAAGAGCUGGUCCGAGAGCUUCCGCACUGCGCUGGGCAGCCUCUGACUGGCCCUCCAAACCCCAAAUGCUCAUGCUCUGUCAUGACCUCCCUCAGUCUCCUCCCGGUUUUAUUGAAAUAUAAUUGACAUUUAACCUUGUGUAGUUUAAGGUGCACAACAUAAUGGCCCGAUAUAUGUAUAUACGUGAAACCGUCACACAAUUAAGCUCAGUUAGCGUCCACCUUACAGACUUAGGGUAUUUUUGCUUGUGGUGAGAACUUUUAAGAUCUACUCUCUUGCUAACUGUCGGAUAUACAAUAAAUACAGUGUUGUCAACCACAGUCACCAUACUCUCCUUACUUCUCUUGUAACUGGAAGUUUGUGCCUUUGCCUCCCCUUGCCCAGUUCCCUCACCCACCCCCACCCGCUGCUCCCGGCCACCA